rfam:Triticum urartu cultivar G1812 contig627319, whole genome shotgun sequence.
AUUCUACUCCCUCUGUUCCGAAUUACUCGUCGCAGAAAUGGAUGUAUCUAGAUGUAUUUUAGUUCUAGAUACAUCCAUUUCUGCGACGAGUAAUUUAGAACGGAGGGAGUAGGUG